rnacentral:lncRNA from 1 species
GACGAAACCUUCUGUAAGUUCCACGAGAGAACUUGAUUACCUAUAGCUUGUACUGGCAUGGUAAGAAGUUUGUCUUAUAUUUGCAUCAUUAGUUUUUUUUUGUAACUUCUGUCACUUAAUAAAUCUCGGAAUUCAAAUAUUGCCUAUUAUAUAUUUCCAGCAGAAUUCGGUGAAACGUGUCUCUAGUAUUUCUUGGCAGGAGAUGAUCUGACGGAUGCUUGCGUUCUGGAGGAGGACGGGACGAGAAUACAAGAUACAGGCACGUAAGUACCCAGGUGAAAAUAGGAUUUCCACUUGAUGAUAAGAAUACAAGGCGGACGGACGACAAGUUAACAUCCAAAACAUUUCUGCAGUUUUUCACAUCUUCUAGGUACAAACGCUGGCAUGCCACAUACACACGCAUCACAAUAUCAGCACCCGGCCGGCAUAUUCGUAUCAUCUUCACCAUUUCCAGAAGACGUUGGAUCCGCACUUGUACUUCUCCUUGCCCUCGCACUCGAUCUCCAGGUCGUCACUGAUGAACGGCACUUUCUGUAAACCACACAUAAAGAACAUGAUCAGAGAUCAGAAUCCAUCCGGGCCGGGAUUCCAAGCAAAACUGCACAUUAUAUGCUUACAGUUCCAGGUUAAUUAAUCGUGUGAUCAGAUUAGAAUUUAC